AACGAAACGGAAGGAGGUGAUCCAAUGUCGAGUGGUUUGCAAUUGCCGACAGGAUCGGAAAUGUGCGUCGACGGGAAGGGGCAGCCUUCUUUCUGACGAUGGUUUUCGGCCAAUCAGGCACGGCCUGACGGCAAGAGCUCGCAAUCACGGGGCCGCUCCUUCGACGGGGCGGCCCU
rnacentral:sRNA from 1 species